AGUCGAGAAUAAUUCACAAUGGGGGCAACCCUGAUGGUGCAACGCCGCGUGGAGGAUGAAGGUCCUCGGAUUGUAAACUCCUGUCAUCCGGGAGUAAGACCUGACGGUGAACAGCCGGCAGGGUUGAUAGUACCGGAAGAGGAAGGGACGGCUAACUUCGUGCCAGCAGCCGCGGUAAUACGAAGGUCCCAAGCGUUGUUCGGAAUCACUGGGCGUAAAGGGUGCGUAGGCGGUUAGGUAAGUCAGAUGUGAAAUCCCGGGGCUCAACCCCGGAACUGCAUCCGAUACUGCUUGACUUGAGGACUGGAGAGGUGACUGGAAUUCUCGGUGUAGCAGUGAAAUGCGUGGAGAUCGAGAGGAACACUCGUGGCGUAAGCGAGUCACUGGACAGUAUCUGACGCUGAGGCACGAAGGCCAGGGGAGCGAA
rnacentral:rRNA from 1 species